GUGCAGCAGUCGCGAAACCUCCGCAAUACACGAAAGUGUGACGGGGCCAUCCCGAGUGCCGUCCGCUGAGGACGGCUUUUCCCCAGUGUACACAGCUGGGGGAAUAAGGAGAGGGCAAGCCUGGUGUCAGCCGCCGCGGUAAUACCAGCUCUCCGAGUGGUGGGGACGCUUAUUGGGCCUAAAGCAUCCGUAGCCGGCUGGGCAAGUCCUCCGUUAAAUCCAACGAUUCAAUCGUUGGGCUGCGGGGGAUACUGUCCAGCUUGGGGGCGGGAGAGGCCGACGGUAUUCCCGGGGUAGGGGUGAAAUCCUAUAAUCCCCGGGAGGACCACCAGUGGCGAAGGCUGUCGGCUAGAACGCGCCCGACGGUGAGGGAUGAAAGCUGGGGGAGCGAACCGGAUUAGAUACCCC
rnacentral:rRNA from 1 species